AUUGAACGCUGGCGGCAGGCCUAACACAUGCAAGUCGAGCGGUAGAGAGGUGCUUGCAUCUCUUGAGAGCGGCGGACGGGUGAGUAAUGCCUAGGAAUCUGCCUAGUGGUGGGGGAUAACGUUCGGAAACGGACGCUAAUACCGCAUACGUCCUACGGGAGAAAGCGGGGGAUCUUCGGACCUCGCGCCAUUAGAUGAGCCUAGGUCGGAUUAGCUAGUUGGUGAGGUAAUGGCUCACCAAGGCGACGAUCCGUAACUGGUCUGAGAGGAUGAUCAGUCACACUGGAACUGAGACACGGUCCAGACUCCUACGGGAGGCAGCAGUGGGGAAUAUUGGACAAUGGGCGAAAGACCUGAUCCAGCCAUGCCGCGUGUGUGAAGAAGGUCUUCGGAUUGUAAAGCACUUUAAGUUGGGAGGAAGGGUAGUAACCUAAUACGUUGCUACUUUGACGUUACCGACAGAAUAAGCACCGGCGUAACUUCGUGCCAGCAGCCG
rnacentral:rRNA from 1 species